rnacentral:lncRNA from 1 species
CUGGAGGAUUGUGGACAGGAGUGAGAUGUAGCAGAGACUAAAUGUAAGAAAUGUAUAUGAAGCUUCUGUUGGGAGAGGCACUCUGCCAUGGGACAUAAGUGUCCCUGCAUGUUCUUGCUGGGUGUGGCCAGGAUGCAAAGCCUUAAAUGCACUUACCUGGGCCAUUUCUGAGGGUUAGAUUGCCAGCAAGUCACCUUAAGGGAUGAUGCAAUGUAUUUCUCCAGAACAAAGACAAGGCUUAACGUAAACGCAGCAGAUUCCCCAAGAUCAAUGUUUUUCAGCUGUGAGUCAAACCCAUUGUGUGCUCAGUAUUCACCUGGGCCAUUUUGUGUCACCUCCACAGAACUUGGGGGUCAAGGGGAACCAGUGCCAACAUUAUACUUAUCCUGCUUGCUGUGUUAUGAGUAAGAAAGUCCUUUGUCUCUGACCCAGGGAUCUUGCAUCUUCUGCCAGCAUCUAUGAAAAAGUAACAGCCUACCUUGUUAACUGAGCAGCCAGAAGGACCUGGAAGGUAGAGUUCUCCUCCCUUACAGUGCAAGGUAAAAAAGUUAAAAAGGCUACAUACGCUUGGUAAGUUUUCUCAGUUGGUAUAUAGCAUAGAACACACGAGAUAAUGCAGUUGCCUUCAAUGUCCUGCUAAGGUGUUUUGGCUUCAUUCUGUACAAUGAAUACAGUCUUUGGAGAGGAUUUUUAGGAGGGUAAUGAGAAUUAGUGACACAAUUUGGAGAGGUUCCUUCAAUUAAAAAAUAUACCUAUGUAUCUAAAUAUAAAGAAUUGGAAGGAAAGUGACGAGUCAGGAGAUUGGUAUUAAAAGCCUGAAUUGGGGCAGUCCCUUGCUGCAGUGAUCAUUUCUUACAUAAUCCAGAGAGAGCCUUGCACUGUGCCAAAUACAAUAUUUACCACAUGCCUCAAAUGUAGUAGAUGAUGAACAGAUGUAUGUAGCAUAUAAAACAGUGACCUCCUCGGGAAGGUGUCUCAGUCUUUCAUUUACAGAUUCUCUGAAAUAUUCCGUAGUGCUUUUUAUGCUAUGUCGAGCUAUAUCAUAAAAUGUGGUAAAAUGAAUGCAGUUUAAAGUCUCCUAUUUAGAAAUGCUUUGACUGCUAGUCUACAUAGAGACGCGACAGACUAGAAUAGAUAAAUUCACAGUAUCCCAACGUGUGUCCUCUUUAAACAGAAUUAAUUAGUUGGAGAAAUGAGACAUUCUCACAUUAAAAAUAAACUCCAAGCUAAUUUUCAGAUGGCUACCAAGAAUAUAUCUGCAAUAUCACUCCAGAUAGAGUAAAAAUGAUAAAGUACAUGUCCAUUUAUGCACAAAUUUUAGGGACUAGUUUAUAUUUGUCCUAUUAUUCUACUUCUUAUAGUGGUCUACUUAAUAAAGAACAUGAUAACCAAAUACACAUUUCACAUUUUAGAAGGUGGCAUUCCAAUAAAAUAUAUUAGCACUAAGAUUAUUUUGCACAUAAUUAAAUCUUUGAUAAUUUAGAUGACAUUUUAUGAUAAUGUAAAAGAAAACCCUGCCAAAAGGGACAGGUUGCAUUCCUUCUCAAACCAGUUUGGUAACUCAAAAGUGUACUAUUCCAGAGGAAAUAAUGUUGUAAUCUGCUAUUGGAUUAUUUUGAAAGACCACAAGACUCUUUUUAGCUGAUCUGUCCCUGAAAGACUUCGUCUCUGCUAACUAGCCUGAGUCCUGCUUUCUGAGAGUUACGGCCACACAGUGCAGAAAGGAGGAAGAAGACAUGGACAUCUGAGAACUCAGGAACUGGACAAGAGAAGUGGACAACAGACAUGAAGGGGGUUAUAGGAAGCAUUUUUAAAGUUUAUCACUUUUCCUGAAUAAAGCGUCAAAAAAAAAUAGGGAAAAUUGCAUGAAAAAGCACUUUAUCUCCUAUUAUCUUUUUUCUUACCCCUAGAGGCACAUUCCUCCUUUGUUACUCUAAGUCUUUCAACCAAGGCCUGAACUUUCCCUUAAAGUGUUCCAUUCUAAAAAGCCAAAUAGCUCCUUCCUUUCCUCCCCUUACUUCCUUAUGCAACCUCCAUCCCAUCAAAAAUGUCAUUUUAGCAGUUCAGGUGACCGGAGAUGGCUGUUAGCUGGUUGUCUAUUUGAUACUGCUUGUGUGAAUUCUAGCCUACUCAAUUCUACAAGAGUUAUUAGCAUUUUAAAGACGGUUACUUGACACAUCAAGACAACUUUGCCUGACAAAAUUUUUGAGACCAAGGUAAAAGACUUUCAUAUAUACAGAACAUUGCACAUUUGGGGACAGGGGUGAAUCAUUGUCCAGUAGGUUCGUCUGUCUCAGCCAACCUAAAAUGUCUAUAGCUGAUUACCUUCAUCAAAAUGUGCCGAAACAAUUCAAUAGGGGAAUCAUUUUUUCAAAAAAUGGUACUGGAAUAACUGAGUAGCCAUGAGCAAACAAAUAAAUCUUGACACAUACUUCACAGCAUACGCAAAAUUAAUUUCAAAUAGAUUAUAGAUCUAAAUGCAAGAGCUAAAGAUACAAAAUUUCUAGAAAACAUCAGAGAAAAUCUUUAGUGUCCAGUGUUUGGCAAAAGUUUCCUAAAUUCAACACAAAAAACCUUAAAAUGUCAAUAAAUUUGACUUAAUAAAAAACGUUUGCUACUCAUAAGACAUUGUUACCAAAAUGAAUGAAAACACCCGAAGACUGAGAGAAAUAUUUACAAAAUCUAUAUCUAACAAAUGCCUUGUAUCUGAAACAUACAAGGAACUCCUACAACUUAAUAAUGAGAAGACAAACAACUCAAUAAAAAUAAGCAAAAUAUUUGAAGUCAUGUCCCCGAAGAAGAUACAUGGAUAACAAGCACAAGAAAAGAUGCUCAACAUCAUUAGUUGUUGGGGAAAUGCAAAUUAAAAACCACAAUGAAAUACCACUAUAUGCUUAAUAGAAUGACUAAAAUUAAAAAGACUAAACACACAAAGUCUUGAUGAGGAUAUGGAGGAAAUGGAAAUGUCAUACACUGCCUGUGGGCAUGUAAAACUGUCUAAUCACUUUGGAAACAAAACUUGGCAGUUUCUUCAAAAGUUAAAUAUACACCAACUACACAAUUCGAAAUUCCACUCUUAGGUAUCUACCUAAGAGAAAUAAAUGGUUAUGUAUAUACAAAGACUUGUACGUAAAUGUUCAAAGUUCUUUUAUUUGUAAUAGAAAAAAAGUGAAACAAAUAAAAUUUCCAUCAGAUUUUCAUAUAUCCACUACAGUGCAAUACUACUCAGUAAUAAAAAGGAACAAAUUAUUGAUACAUUCAGCAACUUGAAAGAGUCUGAAAAUAAUUAUGCUGAGUGAAAGACGCUACACAAUAGAGGACAUAGUGAAUGCUUCCAUGUCCAUUCAAAACUGUAGUGUCGGAAAUCAGAGGAGUGGUUGCCUGGGCAGGUGUAGGAGAGGGGAGAGAAAAAUAAAUUAGAAAGGGGCAUGAGGAAACUUUUGUAGGUAAUAUAUAUUCAUUAUGUUAAUUGCGCAGAUGUAUACAUAUGUGAAAACUCACCAAACUGUACACUUUAAAUAUAUACAGUUUGUUUAAAUCAAUUAUAGGUCAAUAAAGAUUUUUUUUGUUAAAGUUUAAAGAUAAAGUAGUUUGGCCUCCAGACUAAAGAGACUGAUUUUUUUCCAUGAGAUACUUAAGCAUAGUCUUUUGAAAAAAAUCCCAUUUUGUAGGAUCACACAAUGUUAUAAACAGUAAGUAUUCCAAAAUCAUCUCGUCCAACCACUUCAUUUUACAUAUUUAGUAGCUG